GAUGAACGCUGGCGGCGUGCCUAAUACAUGCAAGUCGAGCGAACGGACGAGAAGCUUGCUUUUCUGAUGUUAGCGGCGGACGGGUGAGUAACACGUGGAUAACCUACCUAUAAGACUGGGAUAACUUCGGGAAACCGGAGCUAAUACCGGAUAAUAUUUUGAACCGCAUGGUUCAAAAGUGAAAGACGGUCUUGCUGUCACUUAUAGAUGGAUCCGCGCUGCAUUAGCUAGUUGGUAAGGUAACGGCUUACCAAGGCAACGAUGCAUAGCCGACCUGAGAGGGUGAUCGGCCACACUGGAACUGAGACACGGUCCAGACUCCUACGGGAGGCAGCAGUAGGGAAUCUUCCGCAAGGGGCGAAAGCCUGACGGAGCAACGCCGCGUGAGUGAUGAAGGUCUUCGGAUCGUAAAACUCUGUUAUUGGGGAAGAACAUAUGUGUAAGUAACUGUGCACAUCUUGACGGUACCUAAUCAGAAAGCCACGGCUAACUACGUG
rnacentral:rRNA from 1 species